UUGAAAAACCAGUUCCCGUAUGAUCACCGAAGUUAAGCAACGUCGAGCCUGGUCAGUACCUAGAAGGGUGACUGCUUGUAAGCUUGCGGGUGGUGC